UAAGUGCUUUUACCAGAUAACCAUAUGGCACUGUCAUCAGCAAACUGUGACAUAACACAGUACUUUAAAUUAUUGGAUAUAUCAUUCACCAUGAUGUGAAAUAGUGUAGGACUUAUACAACUACCCUGUGGUGUACCAUUCUGAAUUAUAAAUAUUUCAGAAUAUGGGAGGUUUUCUCUGACAUAUAUUGCUGUACCUCCAUGUGAUUUAGUAUUACGUACAGAAAAAUCAGCUAAUUUGUAACCUAUUACAUGUGGAUGGUCUUGUUCGUUUUUGCACCAUGUUUCCUGGAAGCAAAUUAUAUCAGGCUUUAUUUGCGACAUAGCUAUAUACUCUGCAGCAUUAUUGUGAAUACCACGACAGUUCCAAUGAACAAUACUAAACAUGAUGUUGUAUAUUAGUAAACUAGUAAAAUUAGCCAUUAUAAGCACAGAUAGAACAUAUAACAUUACUACUGUUACUAUUUUAUGAUUUGUAUAAUACAUUAUAGCAUUUC